ensembl:rRNA 5_8S_rRNA 5.8S ribosomal RNA
AAGUGUAUGGAUCACUCGGCUCAUGCAUUGAUGAAGAACACAGCCAACUGAGAGAACUAAUGUGAAUUGCAGGACACAUUGAUCAUCGACACUUUGAGUGCACAUUGCGGCCCUGGGUCACUCCCGGGCUACACCUGUCUGAGGAUUG